rnacentral:rRNA from 1 species
AAGCAACGCGAAGAACUUACCAGGCCUUGACAUGCAGAGAACUUUCCAGAGAUGGAUUGGUGCCUUCGGGAACUCUGACACAGGUGCUGCAUGGCUGUCGUCAGCUCGUGUCGUGAGAUGUUGGGUUAAGUCCCGCAACGAGCGCAACCCUUGCCUUUAGUUGCCAGCAGUUCGGCUGGGCACUCUAAAGGGACUGCCGGUGUUAAACCGGAGGAAGGUGGGGAUGACGUCAAGUCCUCAUGGCCUUUAUGACCAGGGCUACACACGUACUACAAUGGCCGAUACAAAGGGCAGCGACACUGCGAGGUGAAGCCAAUCCCGUAAAAUCGGUCUCAGUCCGGAUUGGAGUCUGCAACUCGACUCCAUGAAGUUGGAAUCGCUAGUAAUCGUGGAUCAGCAUGCCACGGUGAAUACGUUCCCGGGCCUU